rnacentral:rRNA from 1 species
CAGCCGCCGCGGGAAUACGUAGGUGGCAAGCGUUGUCCGGAAUUAUUGGGCGUAAAGCGCGCGCAGGUGGUUUAAUAAGUCUGAUGUGAAAGCCCACGGCUCAACCGUGGAGGGUCAUUGGAAACUGUUAAACUUGAGUGCAGGAGAGAAAAGUGGAAUUCCUAGUGUAGCGGUGAAAUGCGUAGAGAUUAGGAGGAACACCAGUGGCGAAGGCGGCUUUUUGGCCUGUAACUGACACUGAGGCGCGAAAGCGUGGGGAGCAAACAGGAUUAGAUACCCGGGUAGUCCCUGUCUCUUAUAC